UUGCAACAUAGGAGAGAGAGGAACAGAGCAGAACCUCUGCAGUCUCUAACCAUACCAUGUCUGAAUAUGGGAGGAUGACAGACACAGAACGAGACCAGAUAGACCAGGAUGCCCAGAUAUUUAUGAGGACCUGUUCAGAAGCAAUUCAACAACUACGAACAGAAGCUCACAAGGAGAUACAUUCCCAGCAAGUGAAGGAGCACAGGACUGCUGUAUUGGAUUUCAUUGAAGAUUACUUAAAAAGAGUAUGUAAACUUUACUCAGAACAGAGAGCCAUCCGAGUUAAAAGAGUGGUGGAUAAGAAAAGACUAUCUAAGCUGGAACCAGAACCAAAUACAAAGACAAGAGAAUCCACAUCUUCUGAGAAAGUUUCACAGAGUCCUUCAAAAGAUUCUGAAGAAAACCCUGCCACUGAAGAACGUCCAGAAAAGAUUUUGGCUGAAACACAACCUGAAUUGGGAACGUGGGGAGAUGGCAAAGGCGAAGAUGAGUUAUCCCCAGAAGAAAUACAAAUGUUUGAACAGGAAAAUCAGCGACUAAUUGGUGAAAUGAACAGCUUGUUUGAUGAAGUGAGGUA
rnacentral:sRNA from 1 species